GUGACCGUCUGGGCUCCGGAACGGGUGCGCAUGCGCGGGCAUUCCGGCCCGCUCUCUGUGAGAUGGGAUUUGAGGGCAAGUGGUCAGUUUGGGUAGCUUCAAUGCUCCCUGAUGAUUUACACUAAAAGAGUUGAUCGUUAAAAAGGAUGCCAUUUAAAAUUGCACCUUCGUCCUGUAAUAUUUUAUGGUCAGCUUUUUUUCUUAAAUUAUGCUUUCCCAUUUAGCUUAGUAUACGUGUCCACUGGAAGUUUCUGCAAUUUUAGGCACGAUAGCGAAGCGUCAUUAUCAAAUCAAAAUCGAUAAUUUUAAUAGAAGUUUCUAGUUAUUGAUCUUAGAUUGAACAAACUCAAUUUAUUGGAGACUCCUUGCCUCGGGUGAUCACGUGGAUAUUUGAGAAGUACGGAGUAAUACUUUCAAUCAUCAGUCUGUAUUAGAUAGAACUCUUCUCUUCACACAAUCCUACCGAUGACUAAAAUUAACUUGCGGGACAUGGAUCCAAACUGACCUUCAUGGAUUUCCACUGUUUUUCUUGGUAUCUAGUCUAUGACCCUAUCCUAUAUCUUGAAGAUCUUUGAGCUUCCACCACCUGAUGUUCUGUCUAACAGCAAGUAAGAGGCACAACAUUAGAACAAAGAACAAAGAAAAGUACAGCACAG